UUCAUACAACGAACGGUUGUGAUGAGUUUAACCAACGUCGAUGUGCGUUCUUCAACUCUUCCCCCGCUGGCCGGAGAACGCCCACCGGCCUAAGUUGCUUCCCUUUUGUCCUCCGAUUCGAUCGAUCGAUCGAUCGAAGACUUGAUAACUGUGAGCUUCAAGAACCCUAGAUCGACUCGUCGCCUCCGCGGUCGGCAGAGGAAAUGAGUUCGUGAUCCCUUGGGGCGGAGAAAGCUGCUUCCCUUUUGUCCUCCGAUUCGAUGGAUCGAUCGAAGACUUGAUAACUCUGAGCUUCAAGAACCCUAGAUCGACUCGUCUCCUCCGAGGUCGGCAGACGGAAUGAAUUCGUGAUCCCUCGGAGCGGCGAAAGUUGCUUCUCUUUUGUCCUCCGAUUCGAUGGAUCGAUCGAAGACUUGAUAACUCUGAGCUUCAAGAACCCUAGAUCGACUCGUCGCCUUCGAGGUCGGCAGAGGAAAUGAGUUCGUGAUCCCUCGGGGCGGCGAUGAAACCGAGAACCGCGAACUCACGCCACGCAAUCGAUUCGUGCACGCUGCUGCUCCACGCGUGGAAGCCCUUCCAAUUGCAAACGCUCGUUGCUGCGGAUCCACCCAGGUCGUAUCCCUUCCGCGCCAAGAAGCCCUGCCUCGCCGAUCGGUCCACCGCCCCCUCCCCCGCCAACGCAGUUGGCCUCGACAUAUCGCGGCUCAGCCUGAAAGACGACCCCCCGCCGCCUCGGCCUCCAAGACGGGAGGAGGGGCUGCGGUGGUUCGCGGGGAAGCGGCGGCGGCGGCAUGGAUCGCGGUCGAUCUCCGGUCGCAGCUCCGAUCGCAGCGGGACCCGACCCUGGGGCGGCGUCUCGGCGACGUACGCUACCUGCUCUGACUUCCCGCUGGCUGCUGGUGGAACGGAUUCGAGCGGGGAGUUUUUCGUGAUCGGGGACUGGAGCUGGGGAUCGGAUGCCAGCGAGGCAGCCCGGGUGACGAGGAGAGAGGGGAGGGAGGUCGCAGUAGGAGUGAGGUUGGAAAGGGAAACCUCCGGGUUUGGGGGAAUUCCAGGCGUUGGAGGUGCAGGGAUGCUGGAAUCCCAGGGGAACGAAUCCGGCUAUGGAAGCGAGGCUGGAUACAGGGGUGAUGGGGAGCUCGGCUACGACGACGAAAUUGAGGAUGAGGAUGAAGAUGAUGAUGGGAAACAGUUGUUCUGGGGUGAAGAACUCGGAGGUAGACAUCAUUCCUUUAUUGGUAAAAGAAACUGAUAAAUCCAAACCAAAAUUGUACUGAGCACGCAUAGGUUACCCGAGAGAUGCUGAUCAGAUGGAAAUUGUCAGCGAGAACAAGUUUGCAGAGCAGAAGGCCCACCACCGAGGCAGGCACAGGAAGCAUGACUGGAGAAUAAUGGCCUCCUUGAGCAAGCCAUGUUAAAGCCAGAGCUUCUGCUGCCAUCAUAUCCAUCUCAAGCCUUCUGCGUGACCAACCAACCAAUCUGCACAACUGCUACACUACUUGCAAUCAUAAUUUUUGGACUGAGAUGAUAUCAUCAGAUACUAUUGCCGUCUGAGAUGACCACAUAAUCCACUAUCGAAAAGUAAGAGCGUUUGGACUGUUGGCAAUUUUAUGUGAACGAAAAAUUCAAUUUUGAAUAGCAUUAUUGAGAAUAACAUAUGCAUGUUUCCGAGCAAAGACAUUAUUGGUGUUAGUUGCACCAAUACUGCAGGUGAUGGUUAUUUUUGAUUUUUAGUGCUACAUACUGAUGAAAAAGAUUGGCAUUCAGCAAAUACAAUCAACACUUGUCGUC